rnacentral:rRNA from 1 species
CCACAUUGGGACUGAGACACGGCCCAGACUCCUACGGGAGGCAGCAGUGGGGGAUAUUGCACAAUGGGGGAAACCCUGAUGCAGCAACGCCGCGUGAAGGAUGAAGGUCUUCGGAUUGUAAACUUUUGUCCUAUGGGAAGAAGAAAGUGACGGUACCAUAGGAGGAAGCUCCGGCUAACUACGUGCCAGCAGCCGCGGUAAUACGUAGGGAGCAAGCGUUGUCCGGAUUUACUGGGUGUAAAGGGUGCGUAGGCGGAAGAGCAAGUCAGUAGUGAAAUCUGGGGGCUUAACCCCCAAACUGCUAUUGAAACUGUUCUUCUUGAGUGGAGUAGAGGUAGGCGGAAUUCCCGGUGUAGCGGUGAAAUGCGUAGAGAUCGGGAGGAACACCAGUGGCGAAGGCGGCCUACUGGGCUCUAACUGACGCUGAGGCACGAAAGUGUGGGUAGCAAACAGGAUUAGAUACCCCGGUAGUCCACACCGUAAACGAUGAUUACUAGGUGUGGGGGGUCUGACCCC